rnacentral:misc_RNA from 1 species
AAAAUGUUAUAUCUCAAGAAAAUUUGCUCUAAAGAUUCCUAGUGGGAAAUCUCUAUUCAAUUUGUCUUUUUCUCUUUGGUUAUUUGUCAAGUCUCUGGAUGGAUGUGUAUGCUUGUGCUUAUCUUCUUGCCUUGUCUACCGACCUACAGAAAUUAAGCUUGGAGAUAUUUAUAUGAAUUAUGAGCUUUUGACGGCAGGAGGUCCAAAUGCUACCCUCCCAUAGGGCGACAAGUUCUUUAUUAGUGGAAAUCACUCACGGGUUGGUCUGCUUUUAUACAGUGAAGAGAAUUGGGUCAGUGCAAAAUGGUGUCUCAAACAGCUGAUCUUUUGAAAAAUGAGCUUCCUCUUGAGCUGGAGGCUGUGGUUUUGCCUGAGGAUGGUGUGACCGGCCUUGUUCUUGUGGAUAUCAUCAAUGGAUUUUGCACUGUUGGUGCUGGAAAUCUGGCUCCAAGAGAACCCAACAGGCAGAUUUCAGGAAUGAUCAAUGAAUCAGCAACGUUGGCCAGGGAAUUUUGUGAGAAGAAUUGGCCUGUUCUCGCAUUUCUUGAUUCCCAUCAUCCUAACAAGCCUGAGGAACCUUACCCUCCUCACUGUAUUUCAGGCACCGAUGAAUCAAACUUAGUUCCUGCUCUACAGUGGUUAGAAAAAGAACCAAAUGUCACAAUCAGGCGCAAAGAUUGCUUUGAUGGAUUUCUGGGUUCAAUUCAGGAUGAUGGGUCCAAUGUUUUUGUAGACUGGGUGAAGCACAAUCAGAUCAAAACUAUGGUGGUUGUUGGGAUAUGCACAGACAUCUGUGUGCUAGAUUUUGUUAGCUCAACAUUAUCGGCUAGAAACCUUGGAUUUCUGAGCCCUUUGGAGAAGGUAAUGGUGUAUUCUCGUGGCUGCGCCACCUUUGAUGUGCCGCUUCAUGUCGCCAGGAACACAAAAGGUGCUUUAGCUCAUCCUCAGGAGCUGAUGCAUCACGUAGGGCUUUACAUGGCAAAAGAAAGGGGAGCCAUAAUAGCAAGUGAGGUAUCAUUUGGGGCACAAAACGAGCAGCCAUGAAUCCAUGUCUUGCCUGUUGCAUCUACCUAGCAGUAAUCAAGGGCAUUAGCAAAUGGCAAUUAUGAAGGACAUGUAUGCUUCCCCUUAAAGGGGUAUAUGGAAAUGGGAAUGUUUAUGUAGAAUUGCUCUCUAGUGUUGCCAAUUUAAUAAAUAAGAUAAAUAAUUGCUGUCA